AGAGCAAACAAACAAGCAAAUAUGGAAGAUACAAGAAAGGAAAGGGGGGAGAAGGGAAGAAAGAAGAAAAGAAAGGAUGGAUGGAUGGAUAGAUAGAUGGAUGGACGGAUGAAAGCAAGGUAGUCAUUUCCGCUGGGCUUAGUUUCGCUUCUUCUUCUUCUUCUUCUUCUU
rnacentral:ribozyme from 1 species